UCCACCGUUGUCAAAUCCAGUACCGUGCGUGCGGUUGUUGGAAUCGCCGGGUGGAGGAGUGGUGCGGCCGGCGAGCGAUUGCUCUGCAUUGUGGCCGGCGGCGAGCGGCUUCAGCUGGGGAUUACGGCCGGCGGCGAGCAGCUUCAGCUGGGGAUCGAGGCGAGCGGCGGGUGUCCUCGGCGGUGCUGAAUCGAUUCGGGAUCAGUUGCUGGACUCGGCGACGUGGUGAGCGGAAGGCGGCCAGGCGGGCGUCCCGUUCCUCGCGCAGCAGUUCGGCUGGCUGCUGCUCUCCCGCCGGUCGCCAUCCCGUUCCUCACCCCCAGCUUGCCGUCUACUCCGCCCCGGCGACGGCUCGCUGUCUCCUCCGCCGGAGUGUGCCUCGACUUGAAGAACUUUCUGGCCCUGGCUCCAACAACGAUGAGGAACAGGGGAAUUGCAGCGCCUUAGAUUUACUCUAGGAACUUACAACCUGGGUUGCUUUUUAGCUGAAUUUAUUUGGAGUGCAAAGAAUUGAGGCCGUAAGUAUAUGUUCAGUUCUAGUUCUUUUUAAUUAUCAAUGCAAAUUAGAGGCCGAUUGAAUUAGCUUGUGUGCGUUUUCCUUCACAAAAUGCAAGAAACGACUGCUGUACAUUGUGCUCAUCAUGUGCAUCACUGUCCAUUUUCUUGGCGAAAUAAAGAACAGACUAACCUGGUAGUUUCUGGCUUUCUGCACAAGUUUUGAAACUAAUCAUCUCAUUUAUUCAAGAUCAUAAAAUUUUCAAUUAAUUGAUUACUGUUUUAGUUGUACCUGUCCUCAGUUGCAUCUUUGUACAUAGAUUUUGAUUGGCAAUAAAGAAUGGAAUAACUUGGUCAGUUAAUGUUGUGAGGAAGCUGAUCUAUUACAGUUCUAUUAGGUGAGCUCAAGUCUGAAUCCAAUAGUGUAGGUUCUGUUACUAUUUUUCAUUUGGAGUUUUGUGAUCCAGUAAUUAUUCAUGUUACUCAAAACCUAGUGUUUGUUUGUCCUCGGCUCCGCCGUGGUUGGCUUGUGGAAGCUGCGCGCCGUGGUUGGCCGGCUGGAUCGGCGGUAAUGGCAGGUGCAGAUUAGUGGUAGUUUGCAGACCAAUAAAGAGGGGGCGUCGAUGACCAUCCGGCCGAGUCCGGAGGAGGUACCGCUAGAAAUCGAGAGGUUGUCGAUGGAGAGUAGGCGUUGGAGGCGGAUGGUGGAGGGGAUCGGCGUGCAGAGGUCGCGGCACGACAUCACCGUAUCCUGCUCUGUCUCCAGGUCUCCUCCGGCGACCGCCUGCACAAGCUGCUGCCACCUCCGACCUUAUGCUCCGGCAGCAGCUGCGAUCCCCGACCUCCACCAGUUGCCGUAAGCAAUCACCACCCCUUUUAUAUGAGAGCCACAAUCGUCCAAACCUCCAGAUCCCGUCCAUGUCCCGCGACUUUCAGUCGAUUCCCAUGGUUAGGGAUGCUUCUCAAUGCCUGGCCUUGAAUCUGACCUCUUUGCCCAUCUCUCUUCCUCCUUCCGUCUAAUCGGUUGUGUCUCCCGUGGGUAAUAGCUUGUGUAUGGAUUGGAUCGGCGUCCUCCUGCGGCUGCCAUAACGCUAGCAGAUAUCCACGAAUUGGGCAUCUAGCCCCUUGCAAUUUUACGUCAACUUUCAGUUUGGGUACUGGGCUACUGGCUAAAUGAUAUUUUCAUUGGGAAGUUCUUCUACUAACUCCUGAUUCGCGUGGAGAUACCAAAUUUCAAUUCCAAAAGAUAAUUAUUGGUCUCCAACUAGUGUUGAUUUUUUACUUCGUUUGUUCAAAUGGAAAUAGCGCUGACUUUUUAACUCAAUUUGUUGAUGUAGAGAUCCAGGUGAGGCCAAGUCUUCUACAGAUAAGGUGGUGUUGGUCGACUGGCUGGAUCGGCGGCAAUGACGGUGUGCUGGCGUGGUACACAUCGGUGGUGGUUGCCUGCUGCGCUGGUCUAGCAGCGCGGCGGGUUGUGGCAACGGGCUGAAUUGACAUCGUUGUCGUACAUUAUGGCGGUGGUGGUUGAGGGCGGCAUCGGCAUCGGCCACCUCUUGCUCUAUCUCCGGAUUUCCUCCGUCGACCACCUCCUGCUACGUUGCCAGCUCCCCUCCGUCGCGAAGGCCCUAGACUGUGCGCGUCCGAGGCAUACCAUAUCGAUCUCCACCAUCGACCUGUAUAGUGACCGAUGUAGGAGCACCUGAAGAAUCCAAGUUCAGCCAGGAGUGCAAGUGUUGAGGUAUGAUGGGUUUUUGGCAGAUUCACGUUCCGUGAUGUCAGAGGUGAAGUAGAGAAGAGACACUGGGAUGGUCUUCUGGCUGGUGCCUAGUGCAUCAAGUGUAUGGCACUGCAGCAGGUAGCAUAGAUGGUAUGCAAUGCUGCGGGUGGCCUCGUCUGCGACAUCAUCGACGUAUGGGACAGACGGCGAUGUUCAAAAUAUUAAGUGGGAUUGGGGGUGUGUCCUGCUCCUGGGUACACAAUGAAAUGUAGAGCUGCACCGCAUGUUGUGGUCUUCAGCGUCGGGCUGCCUAGUACGGUGGAAAUACAACAUCAAAGCGUCGUCUAGUGGAGCUGAUGUAACUAAAUAAUUUGCAUCGACUCAUGUAAUUUAUUACAUGUUGACAUAUUAAUUCCUUUACUUUUGAUAUGCGCGCAAUGCCUGAAAUAUGUAGACACAUGUGUGCAUGGACACACUGGAGUUCUUGCUCAAGCCGUACGUGUAAAACUUGCAAUGUGUAAUCAGGCCAUACUUACUAUUCUUACGGGCAUUAAACUUUUACAUCACCUCUGAAA